AGGGGAGUGAAAAAGAACCUGAAACCGUGUACGUACAAGCAGUGGGAGCACCCUUUGGGGUGUGACUGCGUACCUUUUGUAUAAUGGGUCAGCGACUUAUAUUCUGUAGCAAGGUUAACCGAAUAGGGGAGCCGGAGGGAAACCGAGUCUUAAUUGGGCGUUAAGUUGCAGGGUAUAGACCCGAAACCCGGUGAUCUAGCCAUGGGCAGGUUGAAGGUUGGGUAACACUAACUGGAGGACCGAACCGACUAAUGUUGAAAAAUUAGCGGAUGACCUGUGGCUGGGGGUGAAAGGCCAAUCAAACCGGGAGAUAGCUGGUUCUCCCCGAAAGCUAUUUAGGUAGCGCCUCGUGAAUUCAUCUCCGGGGGUAGAGCACUGUUUCGGCUAGGGGGCCAUCCCGGCUUACCAACCCGAUGCAAACUGCGAAUACCGGAGAAUGUUAUCACGGGAGACACACGGCGGGUGCUAACGUCCGUCGUGAAGAGGGAAACAACCCAGACCGCCAGCUAAGGUCCCAAAGUCAUGGUUAAGUGGGAAACGAUGUGGGAAGGCCCAGACAGCCAGGAUGUUGGCUUAGAAGCAGCCAUCAUUUAAAGAAAGCGUAAUAGCUCACUGGUCGAGUCGGCCUGCGCGGAAGAUGUAACGGGGCUAAACCAUGCACCGAAGCUGCGGCAGCGACGCUGAUGCGUUGUUGGGUAGGGGAGCGUUCUGUAAGCCUGCGAAGGUGGCCUGUGAGGGUUGCUGGAGGUAUCAGAAGUGCGAAUGCUGACAUAAGUAACGAUAAAGCGGGUGAAAAGCCCGCUCGCCGGAAGACCAAGGGUUCCUGUCCAACGUUAAUCGGGGCAGGGUGAGUCGACCCCUAAGGCGAGGCCGAAAGGCGUAGUCGAUGGGAAACGGGUUAAUAUUCCCGUACUUGGUGUUACUGCGAAGGGGGGACGGAGAAGGCUAUGUUGGCCGGGCGACGGUUGUCCCGGUUUAAGCGUGUAGGUGUGUGUUCCAGGUAAAUCCGGUUCACUUUAACACUGAGGCGUGAUGACGAGGCACUACGGUGCUGAAGCAACAAAUGCCCUGCUUCCAGGAAAAGCCUCUAAGCAUCAGGUAACAUCAAAUCGUACCCCAAACCGACACAGGUGGUCAGGUAGAGAAUACCAAGGCGCUUGAGAGAACUCGGGUGAAGGAACUAGGCAAAAUGGUGCCGUAACUUCGGGAGAAGGCACGCUGACACGUAGGUGAAGUGAUUUACUCAUGGAGCUGAAGUCAGUCGAAGAUACCAGCUGGCUGCAACUGUUUAUUAAAAACACAGCACUGUGCAAACACGAAAGUGGACGUAUACGGUGUGACGCCUGCCCGGUGCCGGAAGGUUAAUUGAUGGGGUCAGCGCAAGCGAAGCUCCUGAUCGAAGCCCCGGUAAACGGCGGCCGUAACUAUAACGGUCCUAAGGUAGCGAAAUUCCUUGUCGGGUAAGUUCCGACCUGCACGAAUGGCGUAAUGAUGGCCAGGCUGUCUCCACCCGAGACUCAGUGAAAUUGAACUCGCUGUGAAGAUGCAGUGUACCCGCGGCAAGACGGAAAGACCCCGUGAACCUUUACUAUAGCUUGACACUGAACAUUGAGCCUUGAUGUGUAGGAUAGGUGGGAGGCUUUGAAGUGUGGACGCCAGUCUGCAUGGAGCCGGCCUUGAAAUACCACCCUUUAAUGUUUGAUGUUCUAACGUGGACCCGUGAUCCGGGUUGCGGACAGUGUCUGGUGGGUAGUUUGACUGGGGCGGUCUCCUCCUAAAGAGUAACGGAGGAGCACGAAGGUUGGCUAAUCCUGGUCGGACAUCAGGAGGUUAGUGCAAUGGCAUAAGCCAGCUUGACUGCGAGCGUGACGGCGCGAGCAGGUGCGAAAGCAGGUCAUAGUGAUCCGGUGGUUCUGAAUGGAAGGGCCAUCGCUCAACGGAUAAAAGGUACUCCGGGGAUAACAGGCUGAUACCGCCCAAGAGUUCAUAUCGACGGCGGUGUUUGGCACCUCGAUGUCGGCUCAUCACAUCCUGGGGCUGAAGUAGGUCCCAAGGGUAUGGCUGUUCGCCAUUUAAAGUGGUACGCGAGCUGGGUUUAGAACGUCGUGAGACAGUUCGGUCCCUAUCUGCCGUGGGCGCUGGAGAACUGAGGGGGGCUGCUCCUAGUACGAGAGGACCGGAGUGGACGCAUCACUGGUGUUCGGGUUGUCAUGCCAAUGGCACUGCCCGGUAGCUAAAUGCGGAAGAGAUAAGUGCUGAAAGCAUCUAAGCACGAAACUUGCCCCGAGAUGAGUUCUCCCUGAGACUUAGAGUCUCCUGAAGGAACGUUGAAGACGACGACGUUGAUAGGCCGGGUGUGUAAGCGCAGCGAUGCGUUGAGCUAACCGGUACUAAUGAACCGUGAGGCUUAACCUUACA
rnacentral:rRNA from 1 species